rnacentral:rRNA from 1 species
UGAGUAAUGCCUGGGAAAUUGCCCUGAUGUGNNGGAUAACCAUUGGAAACGAUGGCUAAUACCGCAUAACGUCUACGGACCAAAGAGGGGGACCUUCGGGCCUCUCGCUUCAGGAUAUGCCCAGGUGGGAUUAGCUAGUUGGUGAGGUAAUGGCUCACCAAGGCGACGAUCCCUAGCUGGUCUGAGAGGAUGAUCAGCCACACUGGAACUGAGACACGGUCCAGACUCCUACGGGAGGCAGCAGUGGGGAAUAUUGCACAAUGGGCGCAAGCCUGAUGCAGCCAUGCCGCGUGUAUGAAGAAGGCCUUCGGGUUGUAAAGUACUUUCAGUCGUGAGGAAGGCGUUGANNUUAAUAGCUUCAUCGUUUGACGUUAGCGACAGAAGAAGCACCGGCUAACUCCGUGCCAGCAGCCGCGGNAAUACGGAGGGUGCGAGCGUUAAUCGGAAUUACUGGGCGUAAAGCGCAUGCNNGUGGUUUGNUAAGUCAGAUGUGAAAGCCCGGGGGCUCNACCUCGGAACCGCAUUUGAAACUGGCAGGCUAGAGUACUGUAGAGGGGGGUANAANUUCNGGUGNAGCGGUGAAAUGCGUANNGAUCUGAAGGAAUACC